rnacentral:lncRNA from 1 species
GUUACACAAUUUGUUUUGUUUCAAAACGUUACACAAAUAUAUUUAAAAUUAAAUUGAAAGUGUGAAAGAGAGAAAAAGAGCAAGUCAGAGUUUGAGAGGCACCGGAGAUUUACGGACCGACCAAACCGCCACUCUGUAUUCAUAAGUCAACAUACAAACAAACAAUUAGAACGUUACUUUUGCAUAUGACCGACCUAACAUUUUGAGAAAAGAUAGUAAAUCCAUACCGUCAAAAUUAGAACGAUCAGUCCGCUGCAUAAGAUAUGCUCAAUUUGGUUUGUUUGCAUUACCAUUCAAAGCUUUUGUAUAUUUUCUUCUUCAAAAAAAAGAAGAAAUUAUACGAUCUAAUCAUCAUGAUUCAAAUUCUGUAAGUUGCAGCAGUUUGUCUUUUUUCUAUGAAUUAUCAUCACAAAUUUUUAAAUGGGACAAGGAAAAAAAAUUGUAAAAGGAAGAAUACGCAUCUAUAAGUUACAACCAAUUAUCAACCCCUCAAA